GAGUUUGAUCCUGGCUCAGGAUGAACGCUGGCGGCGUGCCUAAUACAUGCAAGUCGAACGCAUCACUUCGGUGAUGAGUGGCGAACGGGUGAGUAAUACAUAAGUAACCUGGGCCAUACAGGGGGAUAACUGCUGGAAACGGCAGCUAAGACCGCAUAUGUGUAGAGAUCGCAUGAACUCUAUAUGAAAAGUGCUAAGGCACUGGUAAGGGAUGGACUAUGGCGCAUUAGCUAGUUGGCAGGGUAAAGGCCUACCAAGGCGACGAUGCGUAGCCGACCUGAGAGGGUGACCGGCCACACUGGGACUGAGACACGGGCCAGACUCCUACGGGAGGCAGCACCUAGGGAAUUUUCGGCAAUGGGGGAAACCCUGACCGAGCAACGCCGCGUGAAGGAAGAAGUAAUUCGUUAUGUAAACUUCUGUCAUACAGGGAGAACGGUGGAUAUAGGGAAUGAUAUCCAAGUGACGGUACUCUAUAAGAAAGCCACGGCUAACUACGUGCCAGCAGCCGCGGUUAUACGUAGGUGGCGAGCGUCAUCCGGAAUUAUUGGGCGUAAAGAGGGAGCAGGCGGCACUAAGGGUCUGUGGUGAAAGAUCGAAUCUUAACUUCGGUAAGCCAUGGAAACCGUAGAGCUAGAGUGUGUGAGAGGAUCGUGGAAUUCCAUGUGUAGCGGUGAAAUGCGUAGAUAUAUGGAGGAACCCAGUGGCGAAGGCGACGAUCUGGCGCAUAACUGACGCUCAGUCCCGAAAGCGUGGGGAGCAAAUAGGAUUAGAUACCCUAGUAGUCCACGCCGUAAACGAUGAGUACUAAGUGUUGGGGGUCAAACCUCAGUGCUGCAGUUAACGCAAUAAGUACUCCGCGUGAGUAGUACGUUCGCAAGAAUGAAACUCAAAGGAAUUGACGGGGGCCCGCACAAGCGGUGGAGCAUGUGGUUUAAUUCGAAGCAACGCGAAGAACCUUACCAGGUAUCGACAUCGAUCUAAAGGCUCCAGAGAUGGAGAGAUAGCUAUAGAGAAGACAGGUGGUGCAUGGUUGUCGUCAGCUCGUGUCGUGAGAUGUUGGGUUAAGUCCCGCAACGAGCGCAACCCAUGUUGCCAGUUGCCAGCAUUAAGUUGGGGACUCUGGCGAGACUGCCGGUGACAAGCCGGAGGAAGGCGGGGAUGACGUCAAAUCAUCAUGCCCCUUAUGACCUGGGCUACACACGUGCUACAAUGGACAGAGCAGAGGGAAGCGAACCCGCGAGGUGGAGCGAAACCCAGAAAACUGUUCUCAGUUCGGACUGCAGUCUGCAACUCGACUGCACGAAGAUGGAAUCGCUAGUAAUCGCGAAUCAGCAUGUCGCGGUGAAUACGUUCUCGGGCCUUGUACACACCGCCCGUC
rnacentral:rRNA from 1 species